UACGUAGGGCGCAAGCGUUGUCCGGAAUUAUUGGGCGUAAAGAGCUCGUAGGCGGCUUGUCACGUCGGAUGUGAAAGCCCGGGGCUUAACCCCGGGUCUGCAUUCGAUACGGGCUAGCUAGAGUGUGGUAGGGGAGAUCGGAAUUCCUGGUGUAGCGGUGAAAUGCGCAGAUAUCAGGAGGAACACCGGUGGCGAAGGCGGGUCUCUGGGACGGUACUGACGCUGAGACGCGAAAGCGUGGGGAGCGAACAGG
rnacentral:rRNA from 1 species